UGGAACUUGCGGCUUAAUUUGACUCAACACGGGAAAACUUACCAGGUCCGGACAUAGGAAGGAUUGACAGAUUGAGAGCUCUUUCUUGAUUCUAUGAGUGGUGGUGCAUGGCCGUUCUUAGUUCGUGGGGUGACUUGUCUGCUUAAUUGCGAUAACGAGCGAGACCUUACUCUGCUAAAUAGCCAGGCUAGCUUUGGCUGGUCGCCGGCUUCUUAGAGAGACUAUCAACUCAAGUUGAUGGAAGUUUGAGGCAAUAACAGGUCUGUGAUG
rnacentral:rRNA from 1 species